UGAAUAUGUAGGAUUUUCUUGUUUUAAGGUGGCUUAAAUCUGUGGCUAACAAAGCCUUAACUGUGUUGCUGUCUGUUUGUACUCCUAAAAACAAGUGAUGAAAUAUACCUAAAUCUUGCAAUCCCACAUUAUAGACGGUUGAAUUUACGUGAGGAUUCUCACAGAAAACUCUUUCACUUAAGGUUGUGCUUAGUCUACAAAAUAUUUAUAUAUAUAUAUAUAUAUAACUGGUCAAAUAAAACCUAGUCUUUUUGCAGGGGGAAAAAAAGCUUUGAGUUCACUUUUGGUUAAGCAAUUUGAUGGGAAAUAAUUCUUUUAUAAAAGCUGGAUAUCUGAAUUUUUGACUUACUGACAAUUUGGGGCUAUAAGAAUUGAUAUAAUUAAGAGAUGAACUUAGGAGGAGUUAUGUAAAUUGUUUUUUUCUUUGUUUUUUAUUGUACGCAGGUACCUAAGGAUAAAACUGGCCUGAAGGGAAAAUCUGGGGGAAACUGGGGAGCUUGACUGUUCUUGCACCUGACCCUCUCAGCUGUCAGAUGCGGUGAUCUCCAUGGUAACUCAAACCCCCAGACUCUCGACAGCAGCCUGCGAGGAGCAGCAUUCAGCAGCUCAAGGGUCUCACGACCAGGUAAGCCAAAAUUAACCACCCAGCAAGAGCCUACCUCAAGUAUGUGGUUUUCUGUCCAACUGCCUUUCAGGUUUCUCCCUGGUGAAGCUACGCAUGC
rnacentral:lncRNA from 1 species